rnacentral:rRNA from 2 species
CCCAGGUCAGGCGGGGCUACCCG